AUGAAGASGCUUUAAUUCACCUCGCNGGUCCGGUCUCUCCUUGGAUCUUUUGCUCGGAUUUUCCCUGGCCUUGUGCGGGGACCCACGGGAGACCGGCUUCCGUCCCGUUUCCUCGGAAGGAUGGGGGGACGACCAUUUGUGACGCCCAGGAASACGUGCCCUCGGCCAGAAGGCUUGGGGCGCAACUUGAGUUCAAAGACUCGAAGGUUCGCGGGAUUCUGCAAUUCCCACAAAGUCUCUCAUUUCCCUACAUUCUUCAUCUAUGCUAGAGCAAAAAUAUCCGUUGCCGAGAGUCUUUUUAUAAUUUACAUUGCCCCACAAACCUCCACGCCCACACCGUCUCCUGGCACCCCAACCCUUGCGGCUUAUGGUGCGUGUGCCUGGACACUUUUCAUGCCGGGCUUUUGUGAUAUCCGGAGACUAGGCAUAUAAUCCGGCCUACAUUGGGACCAUACGCAAAGCCGCCGAAUCNGUGGAAACGGGAUCAGUUAAGAAACCGGCCCACCGANNGUGAUKANAGCCCGUUCUCAGGUC
rnacentral:misc_RNA from 1 species